CCUACGGGUGGCUGCAGUGGGGAAUAUUGGACAAUGGGCGAAAGCCUGAUCCAGCAAUACCGCGUGUGUGAAGAAGGCCUGAGGGUUGUAAGGCACUUUCAAUAGGAAGGAAUACCUGCCGGUUAAUACCCGGUAGACUGACAUUACCUAUACAAGAAGCACCGGCUAACUCCGUGCCAGCAGCCGCGGUAAUACGGAGGGGACAAGCGUGAAUCGGAAUUACUGGGCGUAAUUCUUUCGUAGGCGGUUGAAAGCCCUGGGCUUAACCUGGGAACUGCAUUUGAUACUGGGCAACUAGAGUUUAGUAGAGGGGAGUGGAAUUUCAGGUGUAGCGGUGAAAUGCGUAGAGAUCUGAAGGAACACCAGUGGCGAAGGCGGCUCCCUGGACUAAAACUGACGCUGAGGUACGAAAGCGUGGGUAGCAAACAGGAUUAGAUACCCCGGUAGUC
rnacentral:rRNA from 1 species